rnacentral:lncRNA from 1 species
CUCCGGGCAGGCGGCCGGCCGGGCUUGGGGUCCCCCUCUCCCUCGCGGGCGGCCGGGGCGGAGUCCCCGAGUCCCCUCCGCCUCGGCAGGAGGCGCGUCUGGAACUCGGGAGCGGGCGGGACGCUUGCCGGCCUCUGAGAUCAUCGGGUUCGAAUCCCAGCUCCGCCAGAGCUACUCCGCGACGCUGGACCUCCUGUCUCGGAGCCUCAGUUUCCCCUCUAGGGGACUGACUUUACAGUUCUCUGCACUUUGAUUUUUCAUGACUUAAGGUGUAAGAAGCCCUGAGAUUCCACAGAUCUUGAACACCCGGAUGGAGGAUCCGUCUGUCCUGGCCUCGGCAUCUUAGAGUGGUGCCUGCACACAGCCGCCUCCGGCUGCAGCCAGCGCCUCCAUCCCGCGGCCCCUGCCGGGGGCCCUCCCCAGAGCAAGGACUGCAUCCUUUUAGCAGCAGCGCACAGGCUGUGAAGGCGUUCACCUGCCGCAUCCCAGUGGAGCCUUCCUUGUGGCCUGGCAGCGCUUCUCCCUUGAACCUGCACAUCCCAGGAAGAUGCAGACCGACUCAGGACGUCUGCGGUGGGGCCUCUUGAACCCCCUCCCAGGUCAUGCAGAUGCUGCUUGUCCA